GGCUCUGAGAACAUCCUCCAACAGGCCGUGUCGACUCAGGACUCUUCAUUUGAUAGGAUUCUUGUCAAGUCUUUGAGUGAAGCGCUUCUCCACAGAUGUAAUGAGGCAUUGAGGGCAGCCUCAAGAACAUCAGUCAAAACCACCGGGCCUUAGGCUCUUCCACUGGCUGAGGAUGUGAGGGCUAGCAGGGGGAAAUUAUCUUUUCUACAAAGGCUGGUCAGGCUGACAGGCAACUUAAAGCUAUUCAAGAAGGGGAACGAGAAGGAUUCCCACUGCUCUGAAUCAGAACAAGUACAGACCACUGCUGAAGAUGGCAUGCUGCCCAGCAUAGUGCCACAUGCUGCCAUGUCUGCACUGCCAAAGGAUCUCCCCGCCAGCUCCCAACAGGAGACGCCUCACAAACGUCCACUUCUCGUCAGGAUGUUUUCUGCCAUCUCCAAAGGCCUGUUCAAGCCCUUCAAACAGUCCUUAAAGACCAAGUAACUCAAGACAAUUUAUUAAACGUCAUUCAUUGCAUUAAAUUGGCCUUUGUCUUGUUAUGUGCUCCUGUUAACAGACCAGAUUACAAUACUGGUCUUUUAAAUGUUAGCAGUGAUAGCAACAUUAACUAUAGUGGUGUGUAUAGCCCUUCUACACAGUCUGACUCUUCUGACACUGUGUGACAUGCCCUCUGAUCCAGUGAUCUAGGAUCUUCUGAGUGGCUUUAGGCCUGAAUCUCUGCCCUCCUGCCCAAAUAAAUGUUUUCUCUUCUGAUAUAUCUGCCACUGUCAGCAGCCAGCAGGGGGAAACAUUUCUCCCUCAUAACUAAAACACUGAGAAAGGCUUUUAUCAAUUGCAGCAUAUUCCAUCUUUUGAUUUA